rnacentral:rRNA from 1 species
CCUACGGGUGGCAGCAGUGGGGAAUAUUGCACAAUGGGGGAAACCCUGAUGCAGCGACGCCGCGUGAGUGAAGAAGUAUUUCGGUAUGUAAAGCUCUAUCAGCAGGGAAGAAAAUGACAGUACCUGACCAAGAAGCCCCGGCUAACUACGUGCCAGCAGCCGCGGUAAUACGUAGGGGGCAAGCGUUAUCCGGAUUUACUGGGUGUAAAGGGAGCGUAGACGGUAUAGUAAGUCUGGAGUGAAAGGCCGGGGCUCAACCCCGGGACUGCUUUGGAAACUGGGCAACUAGAGUCCAGGAGGGGUAGGCGGAAUUCCUGGUGUAGCGGUGAAAUGCGUAGAUAUCAGGAGGAACACCGGUGGCGAAGGCGGCCUGCUGGACUGAAACUGACGUUGAGGCUCGAAAGCGUGGGGAGCAAACAGGAUUAGAUACCCGUGUAGUC